GGAUCAGCACUGGACCGAAGCCUGAUCGGGGAUAGUAACGACUUUGGGACAACGACUGUUAAGCACUCAACCACUCUCCGCCUUAGUCAAAUCCAGAGGUCCUCUAGGGUUUUACGUUUAGAAUUUCUCUGAAAUGGAGCCUGUGGCUUUGGUUGUAGACAAAAUUAAAGGGCUUGCUAAAUCUGGCCAAGGAUUCGUCGACGGUCUCCUUCAUCGCCGGGAAAAUUUUACUCGCCGAAAUCCGGUACUUGGAAUUUGCGCCCCCACCCCCUUCUUCUUUAUUCUUGCUUGCUGAAAUUGAUCACAUCUACUGUUUUCCUCUCAAUAAUGUAUGAAGUUGUCCUUUUUGUUCUUGUACAUUUUGUUUUUCUUCCAGUUAAUUUGAUUUGGUUAUAUGUCUGGAGAACUGUUGAUCUCUUUAGUGAGAAGGUAGAAAUGCUUCCGAUGUUAUACCCCAUUUUAAGCCAUUUACUGAUUAUAUACUUUUUGGAGUAUCCAAUUUGCAGUUUCUUUGUUUACUUGAUGCAAUCCUGGGCUCUUUAGCUUGUUUGAACUGAAAUUCAACAAUCCGUAUUUCUGUUUCAUGAAAAGCCAUCAUCUCAUAAAGAAAGAAUUAUUAUUUUGAUAAUGUGGAUUAUUUAUCUCUAAUUAGCUCUUCAUAUUGCGAAACAGUGGUACCUGUUGGUCUAAUAGAUCAAUAGCUUAUUUGCCUAACUUAUUUUCAGUUAAUUCAAGUCUAUAUUUGUUUUGCCUGCCAUACCCUUGUUUCAUAUGCGUAUUUGUUUUGCUUCCAGGGCAAAUACACAUUUUACUUGUUGCUUUUGUAGGCUUAUGGAUAUGACAGAUAUUUUCGAACAUAUUACUCUUCAUUUUUAGUUGACUAAUAUUAAAAUUCAUCAUGAAGUUUUUUUGUGGUUUUGAUCUCUUAUCUCCUUGCACUAAAAAGCAGAGGUCUCAUUUAUUUGGAACUUGCACCUAUUUAUGUGUAAUUUGUUAUAUUGGACAGGAACUCGUUUUGUACCUCCUGUUGCAAUUUGCAUUGACCAAUUUUCUGGUUCCAUAGGGAACAACAAGCUGAAUGCUUCAGCUUUACACUGUUCUUAUUAUAUUGUUUUCAGAUUGAGAUCCUGAAGCGGUUGCAACGAGAAGCAUUUUCAGAUCUAAUGAAACUUAGGGACAGGCAAGACAAGGUUGAGCGAACGCUUUCCUUCUAUAAAGCAUCCAAGAGAAGUCCAUUUCAAGAAGCCAGUACCCAUGUGAGGGGAGAGAUUGAUGUGCUGGGGGCAAUAUUAUUGUUGGGCAAUGUUGAUCAGCAGCAUCACGAUGCUCUUGGUAGAGCAGGAAUUAAAACUGGAAUUGAUUCAAGGUUCACUUUUGAAACAACUAUCCGGGAGAAGGACGCGCUUCUGGCUGAGCUUGUGGGAACUACAAAAUGUGAUGACGAAGUUUCACUAAGUGCACUUUCUCUGGCAAAGGUAUCAUACAUAGCAAUUAUUAGUGACUGGUUCUCUGCAAUUGCAUCCCCAGUGGGAGCUCAGUUCAGAGAUCUUGGAAUCACUACCAACUCUUUGAACCAGGUAUAUUCUAUUUGUUAAUAUUGCUGGUUACCUUCAUUUUUUGUUCAUAUGUCAAUUAUAUUAUGUUUCUGUGAUUUCAUUAAAUUGACUGUUAUGUUCUAAUCUAAAUAUAUAUUUGAUGAAAUCACAAACAUUUACCAUGAAUAUUGACUUCUUUUGAUUAGAUCAUCUUAAACAGAUGGAAUGCAUGUUGCUGGUUUCUCACCCGUUUUGAGUGUCAAAUGACAUUUACACUUUUACCUUCUGGCAGUUUUCUUUCUGUUUUUCUUGUGACCAUUAGAUUCCUUCCAUAGGACAAAUUAGUUUAAUUGAUGGAGCAUGGUGCUCUUCCUAAUGCAGUUUGUGAACUCCAUUUUCUGUCAGAACUGCAUUUUCAAUGACAGAUGAUCUCUUCUUGAUCCCUAUGUGUAUUUUCUUUGACUAGGACUGUUGCUAAUAAAGUUUCUAAUAUUUCUGUAAAAUAAUCAGGAUUCUCUUUUUAUUCAAGGGCCUGACUGAUCUUUCAUGUGUUGGGCCACCACUCUUGAAUCAGCCUAAUGGUAGUACAAUUGGCUUGAAAGUAAGAAAAUCAAAUGUGACUGCUUCAAUGGCUCAGUCUGUUUCUGGAUUUGGAAUGCAACCAUGUUCUGAUGGAAUUGGGCGGUGCUUCAGUACAUUCGGCGGACUUGUCUGUCAACUACCUAGAGGAAUAAAACUCUCACUUUUGGGUGUCCACCAGUUACGAAAAUCAUCUAGUCACCAUGCCAAGCUUGGAGCCCUCGCCAUUCCCAUGGCCUUUCUGAAGCAUCAUAAAGCUCCUGAGACAAUGGUCGAAGCAUCUGCUCCAUUGUCAGAAACAAACACCCUUCAAACUUUCUCAACAGGAUCAAUUGCUGUGAAGGUGGAGACAGGACUUGAUGAGAACACUACAAUUAGUGGUUGGAUUGAAAUGAACAAUUCGAAUUCCAACCCGUUACAAUGGGCUGUCAACUUGUUCGAUGAUUCUGAAGAUGAAUCUGGAUGGGGUAUGUGUGUAAGUGGGAUGAUGGCUGAGGGUUCCCGUAAAUGGACCCAUUUGCAGGCCGAAUCAUACCUAAAAUUAAAUUUAGGGAACAAAUUCAGUAUAAAACCAGGCAUUGCAUAUGCAGUGGAAAGUAAUGCCAGAAUAUUUGCCCUCAUGCUUCGGUCGAACUGGUCCUUCUGAUUGAUGUCUUCUUUUCUUUUCUAUUUUUCUUUACCAAUCAGAACUAUCUGGUUUCUUGGAAAUUCAAAAUUAUUUUCAGAUAGUUAAUCAUUAUUAUACUGUUAAUAUGUGCAAUUUCUGGAAAAUAAAAUCAAUGGGAAGCAGUUUUAUUA
rnacentral:misc_RNA from 1 species